rnacentral:rRNA from 1 species
UACGUAGGGGGCAAGCGUUGCCCGGAUUUAUUGGGCGUAAAGAGCGUGUAGGCGGCUUUACAGGUCCGUUGUGAAAACUCGAGGCUCAACCUCGAGACGCCGGUGGAAACCGUAAAGCUAGAGUCCGGAAGAGGAGAGUGGAAUUCCUGGUGUAGCGGUGAAAUGCGCAGAUAUCAGGAGGAACACCGGUGGCGAAGGCGGGUCUCUGGGCAGUAACUGACGCUGAGGAGCGAAAGCGUGGGGAGCGAACAGG